AUCCAACCUGAUUCCCUCUCCAGGUGGUCUGAUCAAGCCCCUCAGUUCAGGAAAGUAGCAAUUUGGAAGAAAAUCAGGCAUGCCUGAGGUUGCUGGGGGGGAGGGCAUGUUUGUUUCCUUUGCCUUCCUUUGGCUGCCUACACUC